rnacentral:rRNA from 1 species
AUUGAACGCUGGCGGCAUGCCUUACACAUGCAAGUCGAACGGUAGAAGGAGCAAUCCUUCGAGAGUGGCGAACGGGUGAGUAAUACAUCGGAACGUACCUGGUAGUGGGGGAUAGCCCGGCGAAAGCCGGAUUAAUACCGCAUAAGACCUGAGGGUGAAAGCGGGGGACCGUAAGGCCUCGCGCUACCGGAGCGGCCGAUGUCAGAUUAGCUAGUUGGUGGGGUAAAAGCCUACCAAGGCGACGAUCUGUAGCUGGUCUGAGAGGACGACCAGCCACACUGGGACUGAGACACGGCCCAGACUCCUACGGGAGGCAGCAGUGGGGAAUUUUGGACAAUGGGCGCAAGCCUGAUCCAGCCAUGCCGCGUGAGUGAAGAAGGCCUCGGUGUAAG